ACAUCCCGGAGACCCUUAGGAAACUAGGGGUGCUUCCAUCUGGAACGAAUCUGGAGACAGGUGCUGCAUGGCUGUCGUCAGCUCGUGUCGUGAGAUGUUGGGUUAAGUCCCGCAACGAGCGCAACCCUUGCCUUUAGUUGCCAGCAGUUCGGCUGGGCACUCUAAAGGGACUGCCGGUGUUAAACCGGAGGAAGGUGGGGAUGACGUCAAGUCCUCAUGGCCUUUAUGACCAGGGCUACACACGUACUACAAUGGCCGAUACAAAGGGCAGCGACACUGCGAGGUGAAGCCAAUCCCGUAAAAUCGGUCUCAGUCCGGAUUGGAGUCUGCAACUCGACUCCAUGAAGUUGGAAUCGCUAGUAAUCGUGGAUCAGCAUGCCACGGUGAAUACGUUCCCGGGCCUU
rnacentral:rRNA from 1 species